UCCAAGUUUGAUGGCAAAUCACAGGUCCACCUUUAAUUUGGAUCAAGAUUGUCUGCCCUCCAAUUUUUCAUUCCUUCCAUUGUUCUAGCCAUUGAUUACAUGUUGAGUUAAUUUAAUGCUCUAGAUUUUAUCAGCUCACACAUUUUCACUCUCCUUUCUCUUCCUCUUCGCUUCUGCUGCUGCAUUCACAGACUAAGAAACAUUUUCAGCUGCACAACAACAUCCUCCACCAAGAAUGCCAUGGAAUUACGAUUUCCGAGUUGCUUUUCGGAUUCUAAAUCAUCGGUUUCCAUUUUGCUUCCAAAAAAUAAUGGGUUUUUAACUAAUUUGCUGAUUGUUCAAGUGGGAGAGGAAAAUUUUGAGAAUCAGCAGCCAUCAGCAGAAGAUUCUCAAAAUUUUGGAAGUCAGAAUAUAAGAUUUUGUUGUAACAGAGCCUAUAAGGAGCACGAUAGCCCCUGUAAUUCAUCAACCUUUAAUUCACAACCUGACCAGAGGAUGAAGGUAAUAUUUAAUUCAUGAUGUUGGCAAACUCGUCAGAAAAUCGAGUCCGGAGCUGGCAAACUCACCGGGGCAGAGCCUGAAGUGGCCGCCAUACCACUCCUCUCGCUGACAUUUCGCGAAGAAGGGUUUGGUUCCUGGUGACAGGGUUCGAAAGCCGGAUAUGAAUCAACUCUCAAAUCUAUUUAAUUUCAGUUUCGAUUUCAAUGCCUGUUUUGAAAUUUAUUUCAUGAUGUUCGAGUUGGGAUCUCAAAUAUCGCCUUUGUGCUUGGAUUUAUGAUGCAAAUCUCAAAUUUUGUAACUCGUCUAAAUUUGGAGCAUCAACCAUCAGCAGAAGAUUCUUAAAAUUUUCCUCUCCCACUUGAACAAUCAGCAGAUUAGUUAAAAACCCAUUAUUUUUUGGAAGCUAAGAAGGAAACCCAUGAUUUAGAAUCCGAAAAGCAACUCGGAAAUUGUAUUAUAAUUCAAUGGCAUUCUUGGUGGAGGAUGUUGUUGUUG